rnacentral:rRNA from 1 species
UGGCGGCGUGCCUAAUACAUGCAAGUCGAGCGGAUCGAAUGGAAGCUUGCUUCCGUUCGGUUAGCGGCGGACGGGUGAGUAACACGUGGGCAACCUGCCCGUAAGACCGGGAUAACUUCGGGAAACCGGAGCUAAUACCGGAUAACACCGAAGACCGCAUGGUCUUCGGUUGAAAGGCGGCUUUGGCUGUCACUUACGGAUGGGCCCGCGGCGCAUUAGCUAGUUGGUGAGGUAACGGCUCACCAAGGCGACGAUGCGUAGCCGACCUGAGAGGGUGAUCGGCCACACUGGGACUGAGACACGGCCCAGACUCCUACGGGAGGCAGCAGUAGGGAAUCUUCCGCAAUGGACGAAAGUCUGACGGAGCAACGCCGCGUGAGCGAAGAAGGUCUUCGGAUUGUAAAGCUCUGUUGUUAGGGAAGAAUAAGUACCGUUCGAAUAGGGCGGUACCGUGACGGUACCUAACGAGAAAGCCACGGCUAACUACGUGCCAGCAGCCGCGGUAAUACGUAGGUGGCAAGCGUUGUCCGGAAUUAUUGGGCGUAAAGCGCGCGCAGGCGGUCCUUUAAGUCUGAUGUGAAAGCCCACGGCUCAACCGUGGAGGGUCAUUGGAAACUGGAGGACUUGAGUGCAGAAGAGGAGAGCGGAAUUCCACGUGUAGCGGUGAAAUG